rnacentral:rRNA from 1 species
ACAGAAAUUACAUUGAUGAUUGUGGAUAACUCUGUGCGUAAAAAGGUAUAAAGCGGGGUUUUGCUGGGGAAUGCAGCAGUCAGUCAUUUUUCUGCAAUUUUUCUAUUGCGGCCUGCGGAGAACUCCCUAUAAUGCGCCUCCAUCGACACGGCGGAUGUGAAUCACUUCACACAAACAGCCGGUUCGGUUGAAGAGAAAAAUCCUGAAAUUCAGGGUUGACUCUGAAAGAGGAAAGCGUAAUAUACGCCACCUCGCGACAGUGCGCUAAAGCGCGUCGCAACUGCUCUUUAACAAUUUAUCAGACAAUCUGUGUGGGCACUCGAAGAUACGGAUUCUUAACGUCGCAAGACGAAAAAUGAAUACCAAGUCUCAAGAGUGAACACGUAAUUCAUUACGAAGUUUAAUUCUUUGAGCAUCAAACUUUUAAAUUGAAGAGUUUGAUCAUGGCUCAGAUUGAACGCUGGCGGCAGGCCUAACACAUGCAAGUCGAACGGUAACAGAAAGCUUGCUUUGCUGACGAGUGGCGGACGGGUGAGUAAUGUCUGGGAAACUGCCUGAUGGAGGGGGAUAACUACUGGAAACGGUAGCUAAUACCGCAUAACGUCGCAAGACCAAAGAGGGGGACCUUCGGGCCUCUUGCCAUCGGAUGUGCCCAGAUGGGAUUAGCUUGUUGGUGGGGUAACGGCUCACCAAGGCGACGAUCCCUAGCUGGUCUGAGAGGAUGACCAGCCACACUGGAACUGAGACACGGUCCAGACUCCUACGGGAGGCAGCAGUGGGGAAUAUUGCACAAUGGGCGCAAGCCUGAUGCAGCCAUGCCGCGUGUAUGAAGAAGGCCUUCGGGUUGUAAAGUACUUUCAGCGGGGAGGAAGGGAGUAAAGUUAAUACCUUUGCUCAUUGACGUUACCCGCAGAAGAAGCACCGGCUAACUCCGUGCCAGCAGCCGCGGUAAUACGGAGGGUGCAAGCGUUAAUCGGAAUUACUGGGCGUAAAGCGCACGCAGGCGGUUUGUUAAGUCAGAUGUGAAAUCCCCGGGCUCAACCUGGGAACUGCAUCUGAUACUGGCAAGCUUGAGUCUCGUAGAGGGGGGUAGAAUUCCAGGUGUAGCGGUGAAAUGCGUAGAGAUCUGGAGGAAUACCGGUGGCGAAGGCGGCCCCCUGGACGAAGACUGACGCUCAGGUGCGAAAGCGUGGGGAGCAAACAGGAUUAGAUACCCUGGUAGUCCACGCCGUAAACGAUGUCGACUUGGAGGUUGUGCCCUUGAGGCGUGGCUUCCGGAGCUAACGCGUUAAGUCGACCGCCUGGGGAGUACGGCCGCAAGGUUAAAACUCAAAUGAAUUGACGGGGGCCCGCACAAGCGGUGGAGCAUGUGGUUUAAUUCGAUGCAACGCGAAGAACCUUACCUGGUCUUGACAUCCA